rnacentral:SRP_RNA from 1 species
CCGGGAGUGUGUCACGGCACUCUGUAAGCUAAGUAGCCGGUUGGGUUUGGGAUGCUAUCAGUGGGUAGGCUAUUGCAACAAGUUUGUACUGAGCCGCCCCUAGAAUGGCAGUGUUUCCAUUGGCUCAUAGGGGUAGCCCCGUGUGUCGAGGGAAUUAAAUAGAGGGAGACUGUCCCAGGCGGGCAACCGAACAGGAGAACCUCUCAGCAUUGCCACGUCUCAGGGAGAACGGCUCGUGCGUUGUACUGCUUAGUGGUACUGGACCAAACCCAUU